rnacentral:rRNA from 1 species
UACGGAGGGAGCUAGCGUUGUUCGGAAUUACUGGGCGUAAAGCGUGCGCAGGCGGUGAUGUAAGACAGAUGUGAAAUCCCCGGGCUCAACCUGGGAACUGCAUUUGUGACUGCAUCGCUGGAGUGCGGCAGAGGGGGAUGGAAUUCCGCGUGUAGCAGUGAAAUGCGUAGAUAUGCGGAGGAACACCGAUGGCGAAGGCAAUCCCCUGGGCCCGCACUGACGCUCAUGCACGAAAGCGUGGGGAGCAAACAGG